UACGGAGGGGGCUAGCGUUGUUUGGAAUUACUGGGCGUAAAGCGCACGUAGGCGGACUGGAAAGUCAGGGGUGAAAUCCUGGGGCUCAACUCUGGAACUGCCUUUGAAACUCCUGGUCUUGAGGUCGAGAGAGGUGAGUGGAAUUCUGAGUGUAGAGGUGAAAUUCGUAGAUAUUCGGAGGAACACCAGUGGCGAAGGCGGCUCACUGGCUCGAUACUGAUGCUGAGGUGCGAAAGCGUGGGGAGCAAACAGG
rnacentral:rRNA from 1 species